rnacentral:rRNA from 1 species
GAUGAACGCUGGCGGCGUGCCUAAUACAUGCAAGUCGAGCGAACAGACGAGGAGCUUGCUCCUCUGACGUUAGCGGCGGACGGGUGAGUAACACGUGGAUAACCUACCUAUAAGACUGGGAUAACUUCGGGAAACCGGAGCUAAUACCGGAUAAUAUAUUGAACCGCAUGGUUCAAUAGUGAAAGACGGUUUUGCUGUCACUUAUAGAUGGAUCCGCGCCGCAUUAGCUAGUUGGUAAGGUAACGGCUUACCAAGGCAACGAUGCGUAGCCGACCUGAGAGGGGGAUCGGCCACACGAGAAGUGAGACACGGUCCAGACUCCUACGGGAGGCAGCAGUAGGGAAUCUUGCGCAAUGGGAGAAAGCCUGACGGAGCAACGCCGAGUGAGUGAUGAAGGUCUUCGGAUCGUAAAACCCUGUUAUUAGGGAAGAACAAAAGUGUAAGUAACUAUGCACGUCUUGACGGUACCUAAUCAGAAAGCCACGGCUAACUACGUG